rnacentral:rRNA from 1 species
AAAAGCAGGGGAUCGCAAGACCUUGCGCUCUUGGAGCGGCCGAUGUCUGAUUAGCUAGUUGGUGAGGUAAAGGCUUACCAAGGCGACGAUCAGUAGCUGGUCUGAGAGGACGACCAGCCACACUGGGACUGAGACACGGCCCAGACUCCUACGGGAGGCAGCAGUGGGGAAUUUUGGACAAUGGGGGCAACCCUGAUCCAGCCAUGCCGCGUGAGUGAAGAAGGCCUUCGGGUUGUAAAGCUCUUUCAGCCGGAACGAAACGGUCACGGUUAAUAACUGUGAUCACUGACGGUACCGGAAGAAGAAG